GUCUUCAUGGUGUAGUGGUCAGCACGCUCGGCGCGUAUUCGAGAAGUUCGUGGUUCAAAUCCUGGCGAGGGCA
rnacentral:tRNA from 1 species